UACGUAGGGUGCAAGCGUUAUUCGGAAUUACUGGGCGUAAAGGGCUCGUAGGCGGCCAACUAAGUCAGACGUGAAAUCCCCAGGCUCAACCUGGGAACUGCGUCUGAUACUGGAUGGCUUGAAUUCGGGAGAGGGAUGCAGAAUUCCAGGUGUAGCGGUGAAAUGCGUAGAUAUCUGGAGGAAUACCGGUGGCGAAGGCGGCAUCCUGGACCGACACUGACGCUGAGGUGCGAAAGCGUGGGGAGCAAACAGG
rnacentral:rRNA from 1 species